UUGGGUUAUGUCCUCCUUCCUGGGUGGGAACUUGUACCUGCAGCCUCCCUCCCGCUAAAUGGACUGAUCCUCGCCCUCACCUGACUGUUCCACCCCCACACCUAUUGCCCCUCCUGGAAGCAAGAUGGCUUUGAUGGAAGGCGAUUGGGCCGCUGUGAGAGGACUCCACCAGGCCUUCCUGAGAUGUUCUCUGGGGUCACCUGAAUGUGGAAAAAUUGAGUUUGAGCAAAACUGGUAUGGCCGUACUGGAUGGAUCUCAGCAUGACCAGGGCAUAUUUCAGCUCAAAUCCACUGUGCCAAGAACACAUUCUGCCAAGGACCACCACCUCUUCCCACAACUGUGAGUGAGUUUAUGUCAUCACAGGAGGUGCAAAAACGUGUGGCGAGAUACUCCAGUGGAAGCUCAGCCUCAAAUCUGAUGACAUGAAUCACUUUUAUGUCCUUACGUCCUUGUCACCUCAGCUAUUUCCAAGACCACAACCUAGAAAUUGUGAGAAGCCUACCCAGGACCACACUGACAACACAGUCUUCCAUGGUUCAACCUCCCGCCCCUUCCCGGUGCCAGUGUUCCCAAAUGCAGGGGGAUUUCAGACCUUCAGCUUUUCAUUUAUCUCCAAGGCCCAGAUGCCGAGGUAUCCCCAUGUCUGUCUUCAGAGUCUCAUUUGCAAAUUGGCAGCUUCAUACCACUCUCGCUAUCUGCAUUGCUCUAUUUACACCUGAGCUGAUGUGUACCCGAGGAAAGUGUGCUGUGACCCAGUGCUUGGGUGACUCGUCUAAAGCCAUUCAGAGUGUCUAACUCCUGGUGCACGGGGAGCCUUGCUGGGUCAUCUUCUCAUCUCUGCCUGGCCACUAAUGCUUGCCUUUUAAGACUGUAGAUGAAAAGGGUCAAACUCUGAAAAAUAUUUGAAAAGAAUUCUACCGAGCCAAAUAUAACGGACCAAUAGCCUGUGACACAGCUCUAGGAAAUCAUGAGAACGUGCACCCAAGGUACUUGGGCUACAGCCUGGUUUUAUACAUUUUAGUGAGAUGUAAGACAUCAAUCAAUACAGGUAAGAUGUACAUGGAUUCUGCUCAGAAAGGCAAGAUAACUUGAAGUGGGGAGAGGGGUUUCCAGAUCAUAGGUCGAUUCAAAAAUUUUCUGUUGGCAAUUGGCUGAAAAAGUUCAUCUAAAGACCUGGACUCAAUAGAAAGGAAUGUCUGAGUUAAGAUAAAGGGUUGUAGAGACCAAGGUUUUACCAUGUCGAUAAAGCAAAAUGAAACCAAAGUAAGAAUUGAACUUGAGAGGCUUUGAAUACGGAAGAGGCCCAAGCCCAGGAAUGCAGGAGGCCCCCAGAAGUAGGAAAAGGCGUGAAAAUCAUUUCUGCACUAGAAUCUCCAAAAGCCCUGCUGACAGCUUGACCAAUAAGAAAUAUAAUCAAUUUAAUUCAUUUUAAGUCACUGAGUUUGUGAUAAUUUGUUACAGCACCAAUAGGAAGCUAAAACAUCCCAUCACCCCUCUUUGACUAGACCCCUUUUAACUCAAUUACUCCAGCAGUAAAGAUUUUUUAAAAGCAACAAUAAAUUCAAUGAAGUGUUACAUACAUUUAUGUAAUCACAAUAGCUUUUUCAUAUAUUUGAAAAAUAAUGUAUUUAUAUAAAUGCAUAUGUAUAAGUGUGUCAUUAGAGUUAGGAUAAACCAUAUGAAACUGCUAUUUACAUAGGACAGGAAUGGAAUAUUAGCAAUAUGAUAUACUUCAAUCUUAUAUAUAUGUGGUAGACAGCAUUAUUUCGUGUAUCAAUAAUGGCUGGUGCAUACGUGGUUGUGAGGACAGCUGUUUGGUACUCUAUAGCCCCACCAUAGUUUUGGUCCAUACUUUGGUCCAGACUUUGAGAAUCAUCUCUCUGAGGAUAAAGAUAGCUAGAAGAUAAAUACAUCUAUAAACCUAUGUUUAUAGUUCCUACUGCUUCUUCCUAGAGCAUAUAAGUAAUCAACAUGACUGUGAGGGAAAUAAAAAGCAUGCUUUAUGACAAGUGACACCACUCCUUAGCAUGUCAAUAGAUUUGCCUUAAGCAGAAAUGUUUCCUCUCAAAUUAGUGCAACUGAAUCUUAAUGUUCCUAUGCUGAUAUGUGUGCAUCUGUGUGCACAUGUGUGUGAAGUCAGUGAAUUGGAAUCCACCUGCAGAAAGCCCAGAGUAAGCCUAAGGAAAUGAACCUUUGGGAGACUCAAAGGUUUCUCUAAUAAGACAUCUAUGUGUUUAAAUAAACCAGGGCAAUGAGACAGUCCCAACCACUUUUAUUUUCCCCUAACUCAACAGGAGAAAAAGAAAGCUAGUUAAGGGAGAAAAGAAG